UAUGCAUGUAUAUAUACAUAUAUAUGGGGGUUUCUAUAUUUAUGUGGGAGCCGCUUGGCUUUAUGCGGUUCUUGGCUCUGGUCUCAUCCUUCAGAGUGUCGCUGAUGUACAUGGAAGCAUUGGCCCGUUUUUGGCGAGCUUCAUGGACCGACCAUCUUGUCGCGCGUAGCGGCCUGUAGGAGUAUAGAUGCGGGUUGGGGGCUGGAGGUGCAGUGUUGGUCAUAAGUUGUUGACUGCGCACCGUUUCCGUGAUGGAGGGAGCGCAUGGGGGGUGUUGUUGUUGAUAGUGGUGUGGGAGCGUUUCAUCUUCUCGAUCUGGAUGGCUUCCGGCGUGCUCAGUCCGGUGGUCUGGUGCGUUGGUCUUGGCAGGGUUGCGUCCGCCCAGUCAGCAGUGAUUCUUUGUUCGUAGGCCUUACAUGCCAACGCGGUAGUCUGUCUAGCCGCAAGUAUAUCGGAC
rnacentral:lncRNA from 1 species